AUUGAACGCUGGCGGGAGGCCUAACACAUGCAAGUCGAACGAGCGGCGGACGGGUGAGUAAUGUCUGGGAAACUGCCCGAUGGAGGGGGAUAACUACUGGAAACGGUAGCUAAUACCGCAUACCAUCAGAUGGGCCCAUAUGGGAUUAGCUAGUUGGUGGGGUAACGGCUCACCAAGGCGACGAUCCACAGCUGGUCUGAGAGGACGACCAGCCAGACUGUGACUGAGACACGGGCCAGACUCAGACGGGAGGCAGCAGUGGGGAAUAUUGCACUAUGGGGGCAAGCCUGAUGCAGCCAUGCCGCGUGUAUGAAGAGGGCCUUCGGGUUGUAAAGUACUUUCAGCGGGGAGGCGUUAUCCGCAGAAGAAGCACCGGCUAACUGCGUGCCAGCAGCCGCGGUAAUUC
rnacentral:rRNA from 1 species